rnacentral:siRNA from 1 species
UAGCGAUUUUGGUGUCUCAA